rnacentral:rRNA from 1 species
UACGUAGGGUGCGAGCGUUGCCCGGAUUUAUUGGGCGUAAAGGGCGCGUAGGCGGCUGUACAAGUCAAAGGUGAAAUCCCUCGGCUCAACUGAGGAACUGCCUUUGAAACUGUACGGCUUGAGGCCGGGAGGGGGUAGCGGAAUUCCCAGUGUAGCGGUGAAAUGCGUAGAUACUGGGAGGAACACCAGUGGCGAAGGCGGCUACCUGGACCGGUUCUGACGCUGAGGCGCGAAAGCGUGGGUAGCAAACAGG